CCAGAAGGCCAACAGUGGCCUGGUUGGCCAAUGUUUGACUACAGGUUGGCCAACAGUUGGCCAAAUUUGAGUAGAGGAUGACGACAAGCCAGCGGCGUACCCUGGUGGCACAGGAGGCCAACAGGGGCCUGGUUGGCCAAUGUUUGACUACAGGUUGGUCAACAGUUGGCCAAUAUUUCAGUACAGGUUGACCACGAGCCAGCGACGUGCCCUGGUGGCACAGAAGGCCAACGGUGGCCUGGUUAGACAAUGGUUGACCAACAGUUGGCCAGUAGUUGACUACAGGGUGCUCAUGAGCCAUCAACAUACCCUAGCAGCCUAGAAGGCCAAUGGUGGCCUGGUUGGCCAACAGUUGGCCAAUUUUUGACUACAGUUGCCCACGAGCCAUCAACAUGCCCUAGUGGCCCAGAAGGCCAACAGUGGCCUGGUUGGCCCACGGUUGACCAACGGUUGGCCAGUAGUUGACUACAGGGUGCCCAUGAGCCAUCAAUGUGCCCCAGCGGCCCAGAAGGCCAAUGGUGUCCUGGUUGGCCAAUGGCUGACCAACAGUUGGCUGGUAUUUGACUACAGGUUGACCACGAGCCAUUAGCAUGCCCCAGUGGCCCAGAAGGUCAACGAUGG
ensembl:lncRNA